UACAGAGGGGGCAAGCGUUGUUCGGAAUUACUGGGCGUAAAGGGCGCGUAGGCGGCCUGCUAAGUCGAACGUGAAAUCCCCGGGCUCAACCCGGGAACUGCGUCCGAGACUGGCAGGCUCGAAUCCGGGAGAGGGAUGUGGAAUUCCAGGUGUAGCGGUGAAAUGCGUAGAUAUCGGAAGGAACAUCAGUGGCGAAAGCGACUUCCUGGACCAGUACCGACGUCAGGCACGAAAGCGUGGGGAGCAAACAGG
rnacentral:rRNA from 1 species